rnacentral:lncRNA from 1 species
GUUUCCACCUUUAAUGUGGGUGGGCACUAUCCAGCCUGCUGGGGGUCUGGAGAAAAAAAACAAACCUGUCUAUCUGUUAGAACUGAGAUGCACUCUUUUUCUGCUGUCCUUGGACAGCAACUCCAGACUCCAUGGCCUUUUUAUUCUUUUUUUUUUUUUUUCUUGAGACAGAGUCUCGCCCUGUCGCCCAGACUGGAGUGCAAUGGCGUAAUCUCGGCUCACUGCAAUCUCCAUCUCCCUGAUUUAAAUGAUUGUCCUGGCUCAGCCUCCUGAGUAGUUGGGAUUACAGGCACCUGCCACCAUGCCUAGCUAAUUUUUAUAUUUUUAGUAGAAACGGGGCUUCACCAUGUUGGCCAGGCUGGCCUUGAACCCCUGACCUCGUGAUCUGCCCACCUCGGCCUCCCAAAGUGCUGGGAUUCCAGGAGUGAAUCAUCAUGCCCGGCCUUGCCUUUAUAUUCCAAGACUUACACAAGUACCAAGUCUCUCCUGGAUGUUCACACCUUUGGCUUUGGACUGAGAGUUACAUCUUCAACUUCUUUCGUUCUGAGGACUUUGGACUUGGACUGAGCUACACUACCAGCAUCUCAUCCUCCACCUUGCAGGAAAUCUGUUGCAGGUCUUCUCAACCACCAUAAUCAGGUGUAGGUAUGAGUAGAAGACGAUUCAACAACAACAACAACAAAAAGGCAAAGUUACAACUCUUGGAAAUAGAGGCACCAAUUUUGUGGAAAGCAACAAUCAUAGCACCUGGAGAGAAAAUACCUUAGACUCCUGGAGAUAUGAGGAGGGGAAAACGUUAAUGAUCUUUUUUCUUUCAGAACUACCCUGGAAGCUCCCUCAAAGAAUACAUCCUGGUUUGACUAUCCUAAACUGUUGGAAGUGCAUUAAAUUGUAAAUGACUGCUGAAUGUCAUUCCUUGCCAGUUGCUUCUGACCAUGAUUUGAUAGAUAUUCCACCUCAUCUUAGACAUCUAUUAGAAACAGUAGACCAUGAUCCUAUUUCUUACAUCUCCGUGUAAAAUAGCUGUUGGACUCUCUGAGUAUCUACCCCAUCUGCAUUACCACGACAGUCACUCGGUCAUUCCAAGGAUAGACAAAUGUUGUCCAGUGAGUGUCUGGAUAACACAGGGUAGAUUGAUGGCCUUUAGGCAGUUUUUUUUUUUUUUUAAAUCAAGCACUAAAUGUAAUUAUUCUAACUUAAUUGGAAACUCUAAGGUUUACCAGCCAGAGAGAGGCCAUGUUCACUGUGCCAUCAACUAGUACUUCCUGAGUGAUGUAGGUAUACUCGGUAGAUCUCCAACAUAAUUAACUUUCCCUUUAGGGACACCAUAUACAUCCCUGCGGCUGUACUUACGGGAAGCCAGAAAUUAAGUUGCUUCCCUCCCAGAAACAUGGUAAUUGCACCUAAGGGGUGAUAGCGUGAUAGUGAAAGACUUUUAAUUGUUUAAGAAAACACGACAGUAGAUUAUGUAGCCUUCAAAUAAAUGCUUAGAUAGCUAAAAAAUGAGGUUAUGCUUGGUUACUUGGUGCAUUUGGCUGAAUGAUGACCCCCCUUCCCCAAAUAUAUAUCCAUAUUCUGAUACUUAGAGCCUGUGAAUGCCACAUUAUUUUCUGAUAAAACGGGUCUUGGCAGAUGCUUGAGAUAAGGAUAUCAUUUGUAUUAUCUAUGUGAGCCCUAAAUGAUUAAUGACAAGGGUUCUUAUAAAAGAGAGGUGGAAAAAUAUUCGAGAGACAGAAAGGAGAAGGUAAUGUGACCACAGAGACAGAGAUAGCGGUGAGUCCACUGCAAGCCAAAGAAAAACUGGAACUUUCAAAAGCUGGAAGAGGCAAGAAACAGAUUAUUCCCUAGAGCAUGUGGAGGAAGCAUUUUCCUACCAACAAAUUGACUUUGGACUUUUGCUUUUAGGAACUGUAAGAUAAUACAUUUUUGUUGCUUUAAGCUGCAAAAUAUAGCAGCCAGAGAAAAUGAAUACAUUUGAGAAAGCUUCCCAGAAAAUAAAUGACUCAUAAAUUUCGUUUCUUACAUAAAGUUAUCUCAAAGAAGGAAGUAAUUUAAUUAGAAAGUUCAUAUGAAAUUUGUUACUGGCUUUAGCAAAGUAAUUAAUGACACAACCUUGGCUCCUGGAGGUAUUCAGGUCAUCCCCUACUCUCUGGGCAAAGAUGUCAUGGAUGAUAGGUUUGCUCUAACUUCCUCCUUGCAAACCAAGACAGUGGCUAGAAAAUUGCUAAUGCAUCUUGCUGCACCAGGAGUGAUGCCUUCUGCUAAGUAGAAAGAUCCCAAUAUAAUUAAUAAACCUAAGUAGAAAGCCACUUGGCUUUCUAGGGUAGAUACUGAUGGUUUCUGGGUUUGUUCACCAGAUUGGAUUCUGGACCCUGAGGUACAUACUAAAAUCAAUAUGGCAGGAAUCUUGUUGAUAAUAGUCUUGAUUAAACACUGAAUGGACAAACUGAACAAAUUUGGUCCCAGCUUCUGUUUUCAGAUUAAUCAGAGUGGUCAAUGGAAUAGUGUACUCAUGGGAAAAGUCACUGGAAGUCAAGAUGGUACAGCAACAAGGUGGGUUUAUUGUUAAGAGACAAUUUAUCCAUGGGCCUUUCAUGUUUCUGAAUGUCUUACAGACAGAGGCAUUGGCUUCUUUUUUUCUGAAAAACUUUUCAGGAAUAUUUUUAGAACAAAAUAUUUCAUAAAGGAGAAAUAGUUUAUCCCUUUAGACUAGAAAGGAUGUUGGUUUACCAUUCAGUAUAAGAAAGGUAAGGUGUCCUUCUGGGAAAAGGCUUACUGCCAUUAUAAAAUAUUCAAGUUCUCGAAAUAAGGGAUUUUUCUCUUGUAAUGCCCCCGCCACCCCACCACUGCAUAUGCAAGUACCAUCUGGCCCUCUUUGCACUGUAUUGUGGUGAUUGUGGCUCAGCAAACUGGAGCAAAUGCUACUGUUGUGAGUAAUAAAAUUAUUUGUUUCUGAUCCAGGAGCCUCUUCUGCAAGCAUAAAUGAAACUGCGGCAAGCUAGCUUGUAAGCUUGCAAGUCAGGUAAAAUUGAAGUUCCUCAGAUCCUUCACUGUUCUUGCUACCGUACAGCAGUCCAAAAGGGAUGAACUUCAUUUAUGCAUAUCAUAUCUCGUUAAGAAACUGCUAAUAAAAAAAGUGAUUGAAAACAUCAAAAGGACAAAUUUUUUAAACCUUUUUUUCUCUUUUUUCUGAAAAUACAAUUUACAUCUGUUAGAUAUACCAUUUUGAUUAAUAUAAAUCUUACUAAAUUUAGUCCACUUGGGAUGCUAUUUUUUGCAUGUUUGUGUCCUCUCCAAAAUUCAAGUUAAAAUUUAAGCCCUAAUGCAAUAGUAUUAAGAGGAGGGGCCUUUAGAAGGAAAUUAGGCCAUGAGGGCUCUGCCCUCAUAGAUGGGAUUAGUGCCUUAUAAAUGAGCGAAGGGAGAACUAGUUAGGCCUUUUUGCUCUUUCAUCCUUUUCACCAUGUGAGUAAGGACACAACAUUAGUCUCUUCCAGAGGAUACAUCAACAAGGUACCAUCUUGGAAGCAGAGACAGGACCCUCACCAGAUACCAAACCUGCCGGUCCCUUGGUCUUAGACUUUCAGCCUCCAGAACUGUGAGAAAUAAAUUUCUGUUCUUUAUAAAUUAUCUACUUUAAGGUAUUUUGUCAUAGCAGCACAAAUGGACUAAGACAUGGAGUGAUUAAGUGUUACGGCAGAAGUAUAGAGCAGGUUGUUUUCUCUGGAAUUACAUAUGAGGGGCCAAGAGCAGUUAUGUGGUGGCGUGUGGGAGGGAGGAAAGUGUCAAUUGCUGAAAGCUUCCUGACUGUUGUUACAAAAAUUUUACAUAUUGUGACACCAUAUCUUCUGGAGAUAUACAGAAUCUAAUCAGCCAUCAUUUAAAAAUAUAUAAAAUUUAUGACAAGAAUGUUAAAAUAAUGUAUUAUAUACUAGAGUAACAAACAUAUUAGUUGAGUUCCAUCAAGACAUAUAGCAACAGGAGGUUUGAGGGUUAGACUGUCACAUGAAUUAUGAAGUAUCCACUAUAAGACUACUCUUUUUUGACUUGAAAUCACUUAUGGUUGUAGACAUGGUAGAGGACAUUUCAUCAUGGCAGUUAACACGUACAAAAACUGCACCAGAGAUUUGUUCCUUAGCUUUUACAACCUGCCUUAAAUUUCUGGCAAGUAUGCAGCACAAAUCAUUGGAGGUGUUAUCUUCAGAACUUUUAUGAGACUUGUAUUAAUUUUAUAUUGCUUCUGUAACAUAUUAUUACUAAUUGAGUGGUUUAAACAAGAGAAAAUUAUUAACAGUAUUUUAUAGUUCUGCAGGUCAGUAGUACCACACAGGCCUCAUGAAGCUCAUAUCAAACAUUAGCAGGGCUGAAUUUUUUUCUGUUGAGUUUCAGGGAGAAUCCAUUUCCAUAUGCAUUCAGGUUGUUGGCAAAAUUCUGUUUCUGUGAUUAUAAAACUGGGUUUCAGCUGAGGGACAUUCCCAGCUUUUAGACACCUACAGUUUUUGGCUUGUGCCAUCCUCCUAUUUUUAAAGUCAGAAAAAGUGGAUUGAGUCCUUCUCCUGUCAUAUCUUUCUAAUCCUUCUUCUCUUGUUAUAUGUCUCUCUGACCCAGCCAGGAAAGCUUCUUCCUUCUAAGGAUUUAUGUGAUUAGAUUGGGUCAAACCAGAACAUUUCAAAGUCCAUACCCUUAAUCACAUCUGCAAAAUCUCUGUUGCCAUGGAAGAUAAAUAUUCACAGGUUCCAGAGAUUAGAGUGUGAACAAACAGGAGGAAUGGGUGUCCUCUGUUUGUAGUCCUCUGCAUAGCAGAGGACUACAUAAUUGUUCCUUGGUGGUUUUGUGUAUGUUACUCACAGAAAGAUUUAAAAUUCAGUACAGAAAUAACAAAAUUGAUUGCAUACAUAAGGACUGCUUUUAUGUUAAGGAAUAUUCUAUGAAUAUUUGGUAUUAUUAACAUUUACUAUACUUGAGAGAAUUUAGCUUAAUUGAGUAACAGCUCUUCUGAAAAUAUUUUAUGCCAUUUGUUAUGUGUAAUUAUUAUUAUAAAUUGAAAUUUUAGUCAGGUUAUAUACUUUACUAGAGCAC